UGAGUGCGAGCUGCUACGGCAGCGAAGUUGGUGAUGUCAUGCUUCCAAGAAAAGCCCUAUACCCGUUAAGGCAUCAUGGCCUGUACCCGAAACCGACACAGGUGGGGUGGUAGAGAAUACCGAGGGGCGCGAGGUAACUCUCUCUAAGGAACUCGGCAAAAUGGCCCCGUAACUUCGGGAGAAGGGGUGCCACCGCAAGGUGGUCGCAGUGAAGAGGCCCAGGCGACUGUUUACCAAAAACACAGGUCUCCGCUAAGUCGCAAGACGAUGUAUGGGGGCUGACGCCUGCCCAGUGCCGGAAGGUUAAGGAAGCUGGUCAGCGCAAGCGAAGCUAGCGACUGAAGCCCCGGUGAACGGCGGCCGUAACGAUAACGGUCCUAAGGUAGCGAAAUUCCUUGUCGGGUAAGUUCCGACCCGCACGAAAGGCGUAACGAUCUGGGCGCUGUCUCGGAGAGAGGCUCGGCGAAAUAGAAUUGUCUGUGAAGAUGCGGACUACGUGCACCCGGACAGAAAGACCCUAUGAAGCUUUACUGUAGCUUGGUAUUGUGCCCGGGCUCGCAAUGCGCAGGAUAGGUGGGAGGCUUUGAUCAUCGGCUUGCGGGUCGAUGUGAGCCAACGGUGAGAUACCACUCUUUGCGAGCUAGGGUUCUAACGGCCACCCGUCAUCCGGGGGCCGGACAGUACCUGGUGGGCAGUUUGACUGGGGCGGUCGCCUCCUAAAAGGUAACGGAGGCGCGCAAAGGUUUGCUCAGGCUGGUUGGAAAUCAGCCGACGAGUGUAAAAGCAGAAGCAAGCUUGACUGUGAGACCAACAAGUCGAACAGGGAGGAAACUCGGCUUUAGUGAUCCGACGGUUCUGAGUGGAAGGGCCGUCGCUCAACGGAUAAAAGUUACUCUAGGAUAACAGGCUGAUCUCCCCCAAGAGUUCACAUCGACGGGGAGGUUUGGCACCUCGAUGUCGGCUCAUCGCAACCUGGGGCUGAAGUCGGUCCCAAGGGUUGGGCUGUUCGCCCAUUAAAGCGGUACGCGAGCUGGGUUCAGAACGUCGUGAGACAGUUCGGUCCAUAUCCGGUGCACGCGCAGGAAUAUUGAGAGGAUUUCUCCCUAGUACGAGAGGACCGGGAGGAACGCACCUCUGGUGUACCAGUUAUCGUGCCAACGGUAAACGCUGGGUAGCCAUGUGGGGAGUGGAUAACCGCUGAAAGCAUCUAAGUGGGAAGCCCACCUCAAGAUGAGUAUUCCCAUGGCGUAAGCCAGUAAGGUCACGGGAAGAACACCCGUUGAUAGGCUCUAUGUGGAAGCGCAGUAAUGCGUGAAGCAGAGGAGUACUAAUAGACCGAGGGCUUGACC
rnacentral:rRNA from 1 species